rnacentral:rRNA from 1 species
GACGAACGCUGGCGGCGUGCCUAAUACAUGCAAGUAGAACGCUGAAGGAGGAGCUUGCUUCUCUCGAUGAGUUGCGAACGGGUGAGUAACGCGUAGGUAACCUGCCUGGUAGCGGGGGAUAACUAUUGGAAACGAUAGCUAAUACCGCAUAAGAGUAGAUGUCGCAUGACAUUUGCUUAAAAGGUGCAAUUGCAUCACUACCAGAUGGACCUGCGUUGUAUUAGCUAGUUGGUGAGGUAACGGCUCACCAAGGCAACGAUACAUAGCCGACCUGAGAGGGUGAUCGGCCACACUGGGACGGAGACACGGCCCAGACUCCUACGGGAGGCAGCAGUAGGGAAUCUUCGGCAAUGGACGGAAGUCUGGCCGAGCAACGCCGCGUGAGUGAAGAAGGUUUUCGGAUCGUAAAGCUCUGUUGUAAGAGAAGAACGAGUGUGAGAGUGGAAAGUUCACACUGUGACGGUAUCUUACCAGAAAGGGACGGCUAACUACGUG